rnacentral:lncRNA from 1 species
AUGUUUGCCUUUUCACUUCCCUGCAAACAGCUAACUCUUUACGUUAAAUUCUCUCUGUUGGAUAAUUUGUGUGGUUUCUCUCUUUCGAGCUGGACUCUGACUGAGGCAGACAUGCCACCUUACGUCUUCCAUGAGAAGGACCAUAGGUUUCUGGCACAGUCCAAGUGUCCAGAGGAUUGUCAACACUCGUAUCAAUGGGCCCGUAGCUCCUGGAUUCCAGGGAGCUUUUCAAAUUGUGUAGAUUUCAAAGCAAUAAGUGGAGGUAAACCAAAGCAGACACAGGCCCUCCAACAAGCUUGUCAAGUUUGUCUCAAUGUGGAGAAGCAAAACCAAACUGACAGCUUCUUAACAAUCUGGACCAAUUUUCAAGAUCUCUCUUACAGCCAAAGGAAUUUGAAAUUUACACCAAUCCAAGGUUGUUUUGGAGACUAUUUUUGUGGACCAAAUUUACUCAGAAGUUUUAUGAAAACAGCUACACAUUCACUUCCAACUUGAACUAGUGAAGUGCUUUAAAAUCCUUUAAAUCUGAUAAACAAUGAGAUCCUGCUGUCUAGCCCUGGGAACUAUAUCUAGUCACUAUGACGGAGCAUGAUGGAGGAUCAUGUCAGAAGAUGAAGGGGACCAAUGAGAGUAUUGGGGACUGAAUGAUUCUCCCGCCAAAAUACCUCAUGUGAUGGUAGAAAUAACUGGAUACAGAUGAAAUCAUGGAAAUGGGACCUGCAUGCAUAAGAGCAAGACGAUAGCCGUGGACAAGCAGCAAGAGGGUCCUCACCAGAAGCUGAAUCUACUAGCACCUUGACCUUGGACUUCCUGGCCUACUGAACGCUGAGAAAUAAAAGUCUUAAGUCUGUGGUA